rnacentral:rRNA from 1 species
UUGAACGCUGGCGGCAGGCCUAACACAUGCAAGUCGAGCGGUUGAGAGUAGCUUGCUACUUGAUGCAGCGGCGGACGGGUGAGUAACGCGUGGGAAUCUGCCCAGUAGUGGGGGACAACAGCCGGAAACGGCUGCUAAUACCGCAUACGCCCUACGGGGGAAAGGGGGGGAUCUUCGGACCUCUCGCUAUUGGAUGGGCCCGCGUCGGAUUAGCUAGUUGGUAGGGUAAAGGCCUACCAAGGCUACGAUCCGUAACUGGUCUGAGAGGAUGAUCGGUAACACUGGAACCGGGACACGGUCCAGACUCCUACGGGAGGCAGCAGUGGGGAAUAUUGGACAAUGGGGGAAACCCGGAUCCAGCCAUGCCGCGUGUGUGAAGAAGGCCUUAGGGUUGUAAAGCACUUUCAGUGGGGAGAAAGGUUUGUCACCUAAUACGUGAUGAAAUUGAUGUUACCCACAGAAGAAGCACCGGCUAACUCCGUGCCAGCCGCCGCGGUAAGAC